GAGUCUAAUCCUGUUAAAGCGUCGAGCAGUCAGGUGUUCUGUAAUGUGCUGAGACAAGAGAGAUCAGGUGGUUGAUUCAGCGCUGGGCUAGAUUUAUUCUCCAUGGAGAGAGCUGUGAUCAUCUCACUAUUUUGGGUUCUUGGCACAUGUGUUUUUCAACUUUCAACCUUUUUCCAGCUUAAAAUAUAGUUACUUUAUUCCUGGUUCUGAGUCAUCUAAUCUCUCUCCUCCUAUAUCUGAAUCUGUUGACAGGAGUGGAAGUCCUGACUGAGUUAGCAGACUGACCUCUGACCCUUCAAGGAAACUUACAUUUAAAUCUAAGAACUUCCUGAGAAGAGGAAAACAUCCAGUCUGUGAUGAAUGUCCUUUUUACCUUUUGUGUCACAUAUUACUCGAUCCAGAUGCAGUGAAGUGCAGAAACAAGCUCAUGAAAAAUCCACACGUCACCAUCUCGCUCAACUCAAAUUAAAAGUUCAACAUCCCCGAAAAACAACUGCAACUGUCCCAGACACGUGAACACUGCAUUCUGAUGAAAGACUUCAUUUAGGAGCCAAGACCUUUGCAGUUUCCUGUUGAUAGUGGAUCACAGCUGGAGGUCAAAGGUCAUCUGUAUGUGUGUGUAUCUGUGUCACCCAACACUCUGACAAAGUGUCUUUCAUUUUUCAUUCUGUCCAACAUCACUGAUUAAACUAUAAACAGACCUUUUUGCAGGACUGCUAAAGAGUGAGAUCCUGAAACCAAUUUUAUCAACAAUAUUUUCAUCCUUUUGAUAAUUUAAUUAUGUUUUUCCUUGUGAAAACUUACAAGACAUUGUAUCACAGCAACAUAAAUAAAAAGAUAAUAUACAUCAUAUUAAGCAACUUUUUUUUUAGUGGCUUAAUAUAAGAAAAAUUCCACAUAUGUGCUGCCACAACAUUAAUUUCUAGGUGCAGUAUUAUGGAUAAUUUAGGUAAAUGAAGUACAGUAAAUGCUACACAACAGAUCAAAAUAGACAGUUUUAUUGAAAUCACUCAUUCUACGUCAGCAGUUAUUGUUUUAGCAGUUAGAUUUAUACUGUGUAUGAAGUUUUUAAAAGGUAUCGUCCAAUUUAUUUACUUGCCAAAGCUAAUUUCACUUGCUGAAUGUUCAUUUUGGAGCAUGUUUGAACUUCACAUGUAGGUCUGUCCAGAUUUGCUCCUUUGAAAUCAUGAAGUCUGAUGCCAGCAAAAUGACUUCAGAAUGUUCUUAUGAGCCCCAUCCAAAAAAAUCAGCUGGUUUGUUGUUUCACUUCAGUCGUCCUUUCAAGUUUUCCAAUGAUCCGAUCACAGAGACUGAUGGAGAAGUUGAGCGUGGAUCUGAAGAUGUGGGGGAGGUGAGAGAGGAGUAUGUCGGGGAUUUCUCACGUGACUUGGGUCUACUCGUGUUAAUCAGGUUCAGUUAAACACAAGCACACUAGCGCCUGGAUUGCAUUGGACACGCAGAUAAUGUUAAGAAUGAAACCAGUAGGGGUGAAGCAGAAGAAAAGAGCCAGAUCAAAGACAGAUUGAAAGUAUGAUAGAUUCCUCCCCUGAUGUUUGUCAGUAAAGAGACAUGAUGGACUUUAAAGAGAGAAGGAGAAGAAGGUGUUGGAGGACACGUUCUGCCUGUUUUUGUCUCGCAGACAUACAGUGGAGCCCAAAAGCUUUAGCCCACUAGUGAAAAUGCUUUCUUUUUUAAAUUAUAUGGUUAAUAGAAUUUAAAUACUCUAAUGUCUGCUUAAUAUGCAGAUACGACUGUAAUAAAGCCAAUUAUGACAUUUUCAAAACUUUGUUUUGGUUUCAAAUGGCCUGACACAGCAAAAUUGACCAAUAGUGUGAGUUUGGGGUGGGGCUAUCUGUUUAGCUGACCAGUGGAACAUGGAGGAGUGGUUGGGAAACCUCCUCGAUAACAAUCAUUAUUUUGCAAAUUUGUUUGGAGAUGUUGGUGGUGCAGAAUGUACGUAAUUUUAAUGGCAAAUUAUGUUUUCAGGAUGCCAAUUUAAAGGAAAUUAUG